GAGUUUGAUUAUGGCUCAGAUUGAACGCUGGCGGCAUGCUUUACACAUGCAAGUCGAACGGCAGCGGGGAAGUGCUUGCACUUCUGCCGGCGAGUGGCGAACGGGUGAGUAAUGCAUUGGAACGUACCGGGUAAUGGGGGAUAACUUGCCGAAAGGUAAGCUAAUACCGCAUACGCUUUAAGAAGGAAAGCGGGGGAUCAUCUGACCUCGCGUUAUCCGAGCGGCCAAUGUCUGAUUAGGUAGUUGGUGGGGUAAAAGCCUACCAAGCCGACGAUCAGUAGCGGGUCUGAGAGGAUGAUCCGCCACACUGGGACUGAGACACGGCCCAGACUCCUACGGGAGGCAGCAGUGGGGAAUUUUGGACAAUGGGCGCAAGCCUGAUCCAGCCAUGCCGCGUGUCUGAAGAAGGCCUUCGGGUUGUAAAGGACUUUUGUACGGGAAGAAAAGGUUGUGGCUAAUACCCAUGACUGA
rnacentral:rRNA from 1 species